UUUGAAGAGCUUGCUCAGAUAUGACGAUGGACAUUGCAAAGAGUGGCGAACGGGUGAGUAACACGUGGGAAACCUACCUCUUAGCAGGGGAUAACAUUUGGAAACAGAUGCUAAUACCGUAUAACAAUGACAACCGCAUGGUUGUUAUUUAAAAGAUGGUUCUGCUAUCACUAAGAGAUGGUCCCGCGGUGCAUUAGCUAGUUGGUAAGGUAAUGGCUUACCAAGGCGAUGAUGCAUAGCCGAGUUGAGAGACUGAUCGGCCACAAUGGGACUGAGACACGGCCCAUACUCCUACGGGAGGCAGCAGUAGGGAAUCUUCCACAAUGGGCGAAAGCCUGAUGGAGCAACGCCGCGUGUGUGAUGAAGGGUUUCGGCUCGUAAAACACUGUUGUAAGAGAAGAAUGACAUUGAGAGUAACUGUUCAAUGUGUGACGGUAUCUUACCAGAAAGGAACGGCUAAAUACGUGCCAGCAGCCGCGGUAAUACGUAUGUUCCAAGCGUUAUCCGGAUUUAUUGGGCGUAAAGCGAGCGCAGACGGUUAUUUAAGUCUGAAGUGAAAGCCCUCAGCUCAACUGAGGAAUUGCUUUGGAAACUGGAUGACUUGAGUGCAGUAGAGGAAAGUGGAACUCCAUGUGUAGCGGUGAAAUGCGUAGAUAUAUGGAAGAACACCAGUGGCGAAGGCGGCUUUCUGGACUGUAACUGACGUUGAGGCUCGAAAGUGUGGGUAGCAAACAGGAUUAGAUACCCUGGUAGUCCACACCGUAAACGAUGAGUGCUAGGUGUUUGAGGGUUUCCGCCCUUAAGUGCCGCAGCUAACGCAUUAAGCACUCCGCCUGGGGAGUACGACCGCAAGGUUGAAACUCAAAGGAAUUGACGGGGGACCCGCACAAGCGGUGGAGCAUGUGGUUUAAUUCGAAGCAACGCGAAGAACCUUACCAGGUCUUGACAUCCCUUGACAACUCCAGAGAUGGAGCGUUCCCUUCGGGGACAAGGUGACAGGUGGUGCAUGGUUGUCGUCAGCUCGUGUCGUGAGAUGUUGGGUUAAGUCCCGCAACGAGCGCAACCCUUAUUACUAGUUGCCAGCAUUCAGUUGGGCACUCUAGUGAGACUGCCGGUGACAAACCGGAGGAAGGUGGGGAUGACGUCAAAUCAUCAUGCCCCUUAUGACCUGGGCUACACACGUGCUACAAUGGCGUAUACAACGAGUUGCCAACCCGCGAGGGUGAGCUAAUCUCUUAAAGUACGUCUCAGUUCGGAUUGUAGGCUGCAACUCGCCUACAUGAAGUCGGAAUCGCUAGUAAUCGCGGAUCAGCACGCCGCGGUGAAUACGUUCCCGGGUCUUGUACACACCGCCCGUCACACCAUGAGAGUUUGUAACACCCAAAGCCGGU
rnacentral:rRNA from 1 species